CCCUUAGAUGUUCUGGGCCACACGCGCGCUACAAUGACAAAGUCAACGAGUAUUUGUUCCUUGCUCGGAAGAGUGUGGGUAAUCUUGUAAAUCUUUGUCGUGAUGGGGCUAGAGUUUUGUAAUUAUUACUCUUCAACGAGGAAUCUCUAGUAUGUGCAAGUCAUUAGCUUGCGCAGAAUGCGUCCCUGGAUUUUGUACACACCGCCCGUCGCACCUACCGAUUGGAUGUCUCCACGAGGUGUUUGGAGAUGACUUGAUUCGCUUGCGUUUCUUGUUGUCGAAAUCCCCCGAAUGGCUAUAUCUAGAGGAAGGUGAAGUCGUAACA
rnacentral:rRNA from 1 species